GGGAGAGGGAACUGGGAUUGACAUGUAAAACAAGAUUGUUUCUAAUUUAAAUUAAAAAUUAUUAAAAAGAAAAGAAAACACAGAAACAAAAAAAAUAUAAAAGAAAAAGGAACAGUGAACCUCAGUGGUAAGUUAGACAAUGUUCCCAAUGGGAUGGUAGACACAGGAAAACAUGAAUAAUAGCAUAAUUUAUCCAGGUAAGUGCAAUAUAACAGUCAAAAGAUUAAGUCUUCCAAGGCUUUUGACUAGAUAGUUCUCUAUCUCAGAACUUAAAGAAAGAAAGCUAAGAGGAUAUUUGAAAAUGUGGAGUUCUAUAUUCUCUCUGUGUGAGAGGACCUCUAUCUACAAGAACCCCUUUAGAGAUGAAAAUACUUCAUACUGAUAGACAUCACUUAUCUGCUAAAGUGUUAUUAUGGAAUAACGCAAUGUCAAGGGGAAAAGUUCUCAAUAUUAGAUGGACAAAGUCUAUAUAAAAGUACAUAAAAUUUAUCCUAUAGGAAAAAUCAUUUGUAUACCUGCCUGUAUGGAAAAUUGGGAAAGUUACCUACCAUCUCAAAACAUUUACCAUUUCUCUACUGUGCAAUUUAAAGAAAAUAUUUCUUUUAGAUGCCUUGAAAUAUGGAAUUCAUUAUUUCCUAUUUUCAUCCUACCAUGCAAUAGAAUACCAAACUCUAACUUUUCCCUAAUUACAUCUGUUACCUUGGCAGUAUCUCCAUACCCCCUGUCCUUUCCAGUAUGUGGUAACCUCUGAUUUACUUUGGACCUCAUGAAAUACAAUAUGAAUAGAGAUUUAUUUUUAUGUAUAUGUGUUUAUGCAUUUAUAUACACACACCAGAGGUGUGUGUGUGUGUGUGUGUGUGUGUGUGUGUGUGUGUGUGUGUGUGUGUGUGUGUGUGCCCAUGGAUGCCAAAAGAGGCUGUUAGAUCCCCUGGAGCUUGAGUUAUAGGCAGUUGUGAGCUGCCCAUUUGUGGGUGCUAGAAUCUAAACUCAGGUCCUCUGGAAGUGUUCUUAACCACUGAGAUUUCUCUCCAUUCCCAAGAUCAGAAAAAAAGAAAAAAAGAAAGAUUCUCCAGGUUCUAAUUUAGAAGGCAUGUUAAUAGGUCAAUCGGUGCUAAUCUCAUACAAAUAAUUGUGAAAAGAAGAAAUGGGAAAUUCCUCAGUUCUCUAUUUUGUCUUAUAAUGAGCAGGUGAUGGGAGAGGCUUGUUCUUUGCUGUCUUCUUUUUCUUUAAUUCUCACCAUGGUUUCUUCAGGAAGAGCUUGUGUGCAAAUGCAGUUGACUGCAAAGGACUGGUACAGCUGGAAUGGAGGUGUACUGUAGGAGGAAAGUGGAAAAUGCUCAUGUCCCUCAUGCAUCUCUCUUUGGUGGCCUUUGAUGCACUUUUGAGCAUUUACUGGGAGCCUGAAGAACUUAUCCCAGUCUGAUAUAUAAAGCAACAAGCUUUCCUCUGAGAAGUAAAUCCACAUAUCUUUUGAGUAGUACCAGUAUUUAGAAAUAACCCUCCUAAGACAUGGCAAGCAUACACCUGGGCUCAGGAGUUUACAAUUUCUAUCAAGACAAUGUUGAUUUUAACCCUCCUGGUAAAAUGAUUAUGCUGUCAUAUUUUCACAGGGAAAAUCUGUUGGAGCCAGUUUUAACACAUCAUUACCCAUAAUUAAGGCCACAAAAGAUUUAUUCAAGGGCUUUUACAGAGGGUUCAGUAUUUUGCAUAUAGCAGUGGUUCAUUUUUAACACCAGAAAGGGUAAUUUCCAGCUUGGUAACCUGGAACCAAAGGUUACGGCAUCCAGGUAACAGGAGGAAUAGAGCCACCUGAGUUAUCAUGCAGUAAAAGGAUAAACUAUCUGGAGUUUUAAGUCCUGGAAGAACAAAGAAAGCUUUGAAAGUAGAUGUUGAAGCAGACGUUUAGAACUAAAUUGUCUUCAAGAAACAAUAUCAAGACUGUAAUUGAACUCCACUGAGGUUCUGAUUUUAGUGCAACCUAGUUCCAAACCAAUUAUUUUCUGUUCAAACCAAUCAGUUGGUAGGUGUGUAGGGCCUUCAUGUAAUUUGUAAGGUUCAGUUAAAAAUGAAACUGUAAUGCCUCCUUGUUCUAAAAACACUAACAAUAUUCUGUGAAUGGGGCUAAAAUAGAAAAAAAUUCUUUUAUGUUUUUUCUGACUUAUCAUAGUAUUUCUAUUUAAUACAAUCCUAGGUAAAAAUAUCAAAGUUAUAAAACAGCAUGAAUUUUAGAGGUCAUAUACAAUGCUCCUACUAACCCAAACUCAUCGCCAUUUAAUCCUUGUGUAGAAUCACCAAAAUUACAGAAUUUGUAUGUUGUAGUCAUGCAAGGCUAUGUGUUUUGUUCUGAGCCAUGGAAGCCUUCCUCAAAACAACACAAUCCUUUUAACUGUGAUUUGCACACAUCCUAUUAAUGUGCUAUUUUGUCUUUUCCUUUCCUUCCGUGCCCACAUUUAGCUUACGGAGAAAAGUAACAUGACUGAGAAAUGGUGACAGGCUUCCUUUCCCAUUUCUGGUUCUGAGAACACCAUUGGCUCCUUUCUGUAUUUGAGACAAUUUCUGAUUCAAGUGGAGACUGAGUGUCCCUCAGCUGUGAGCUUUCCCUCCCAGUUUAACAAGCCUUCAUCCAGUAGCUGAUGGAAGCAGAGGCAGACAUCCACAGCUAAACACUGAGCUGAACUCUGGAAUCCAGUUGCAGAGAGGGAGGAGUGAUGAGUAAAGGGGUCAAGACCAGUGGAGAAACCUAAAGAAACAGCUGACCUGAACAAAGGGUUGCCCAUGGACCCCAGACUGAUAGCUGGGAAACCAGCACAGGACUGUUCCAGACCCCAGAAGGCGGAGUUCUCUGGGUCCUGUAUUCUUGACACAGGACUUGCAAAACACACUGGCUAUGCUGACCAAGGACCUUUCCAGCUCCAAAGCCACUGACUCACGCUCCUGAGCAGCUGGUUUCCCACAGGAAAGGAGGUAGGUAGGGCAGUUUAAGGAUGCAUUUAUUUUAAAGACUCAUAAAAGAAAUUGCCUUGGCAUGAAUGAAAUGAGUAAGAGGAUUGUGACUCCCUAGUUGGGAGAGAUUAUCUUCGAUUUCGCAAGGAAUCCCUCUGCAGAGUCAGUCAAAUAAAUAAACCGAAGGAGCACCGGCAGCUGGCAAUUCUACUGAGAAGCAACAAGACCUCUCAAAGAUUGCGGGGCCUUUGUCAAGUCAUGGAAGUUGGAGAAGGACGGAAGACCCGUAAGAAUCACGAGGCUCGGGAUGACAACUGUGAGCAGAAGCGAUUGGCGCCUGGAGUGAACAUGCUCUCAUUGUCUUGGCAUCGAGUCCAGAUGAUGGGAGUGUGAGAUCGUCUUGAGGAUGGGAAUAACGCUAAGCCUGGAGGAGAGAGAGUAAACUAGAAAGAAAUAAAAUUGAGACGCGGCACAUAAUAUGCUAUUUCUUGAACACUCAAGUUUGUAUAUUGAAAAUUGUAGCUGUCACAUGACAGAAAUGGUGCAAAUAGCCACAUUAAUAUAAUAUAUGGGAAUUAAAUAUUGUUUUUUCUGGGGAAAUGAGAUUUAAUAGAAAAUAAUUUUUGCAUUGACAGCUUUACAUAUUUAUUUCACCUGUAACUGCUUUCCCUCUGUUAAAGGAGUGCGCUGUUUAUUUCUGUCAUUUAAGGAACAUUUAUUUCUGUUCUAUAAACACAAAUAUUUAGCAGCAAUGUAUAAAAAAUGAGUUCUAGUCAACUGCAUAAAUGACAAUGGUACUGUGCUUCAUCUUGUAAUUCACAAACUUACUAAAAAUUAUACAAAUGUGGCAUGAUACAAUAUAAAGUCAAAAUUUCUAAAGUAGUUGUAAAGUCAUAGAUGUCUAUUUGUAUAAAAUGAUAAUGUUUAACAUAUCCUUGAAUUCUCAGAACACUUCCAUAAAGCAAUUGUUUUUACUUUCUGUGGUUGAUAAUUAAAAUAUGUCUGAAACAUCUGAGGGAUACACAAUAUUAAAACAUUUUGAAGUCUUUGAAAAUCACAGUCAAGACUUUUAUGGAAAAGUAAAGAAGUAUGAGCUCAUUACUUAUGUGUCACAGUCUGAGGUGACUGCAGGAUAUCUUCUACCCCACAUUCCUUUAAAAAACCAAUAUCAAAUUAAUAUACAUAUAUAUAUAUAUUAAUCUGAGGAGAGCAUUUAAUGUUUAUCACAAAUUUACGUAAUUGCAUUAUAUAAGAUUUUACUGCCUAUUUUUCAACACCCUUUACUUUCAUAUGUCUUUCUUUGUCUUUUGUAAAUCAUAACCUGGGGCUGAGUCCCUGGACAAGAAGCACCAUCUUCUGACAUCACCUUAAUAAACAUUCCAUGUUAGGCAUGUCUCUUCUGCCUCUGUCACCAUCAGGUGCAGACGCAGUCGUUUUAGUGUCUAUUUUUGUCCAACAUGCUUCUUGUUUGCUUUGCUAGUCACAGCAGGUUAUCUUUGCAUUCAUUUUGCUGACUCUCACUUUUCCUCUUGCUCUGUAUAAUGCACACACAACACAGUCCAGCCUUUUUAGCCAGCAGAGUGUGAAUCACAGAACAACGUGAAAGGCUUGUCUUUCACUGCAGCUGUGACCCAACUUCCUUCCCGGUUGUUCUAAGUGCCCACUUUGUUUUCUACCCCUUUCCUUUCUUUCCACAUCCCUCACCAAUGAUGAUAUUUUGCUUGUCCAUGCUUAACUGCCUUUUGAGGCUCUUCUUUUCCUAUAUUUUCUGUAAGGACAACUCAAUUCAUUUCCACAGAAACGAAUUUAUUUAUUUAUUUAUUUAUUUAUUUAUUUAUUUAUUUAUGUUCUGGUAUUGCAACUUGUGUCACAGAUACAGCAUAGAAUUCACUGUUCAUUUGGAUUAUAAUUACUCAUCGACACACUUUGGGUAGGAGGAUGCUAAAACCUAGGAUAAAACGUUAAUAUGCUUUCAUGUCAUUAAAUCUUUGGAUAAAAGAACCGACUUUUGUGUACUUAACAAAUGGCUUUGAUGAAAAAGGAGUGUAUAAGAACAAGUGAAAAGGAUACAAAAAUUGCACAAAAUCAAGAGUAUGGAGAUGUGGCCAGGCAAACCAUUCUGUAAAAGCUACGUUGUAAAUAUGUUUGCCUUUGUAGGUCAUAGUCAAUGUAAACUUCAUCAUUUUAUUAAAGAAGCAGCCAGUGACAAUAUACAAGUGUCUGUAAGUGUGUGUGUGCUUGCACACACAUGUGUGUGUAUGUGUGUGUAAUAUCUAGUUUCAACAAAUAUCCUAAUGAAGUAAAAAAAUAUCACCUGGUCUUUGCAUAAAUGUCACAAUUGGUAGAAUCAGUGUUUGAUAUUUCUCCAUCAAUUCAAUUCAUUUCCAUUUUGCUGCUGGAUGAUUUCACGAUGUCUCUUACUUCAUAUUCACCAUGUCUAAAGUAUAAGUAAUUCUCUUGUGCCAAACAACAGUGUUAUUUAUUUCAAAGACUGGAUCUUCCCCCUGGACUGUAACAUCUAAAUCCAU
ensembl:lncRNA